UACGUAGGGGGCGAGCGUUGUCCGGAUUUAUUGGGCGUAAAGCGCACGCAGGCGGUCUUUUACGUUUUGAGUGACAGGUGGUGGCUCAACCACCACAGGCCUUGAAAUACGGGAAGACUUGAGGACGAGAGAGGGAUGCGGAAUUCCAGGUGGAGCGGUGAAAUGCGUAGAGAUCUGGAAGAACACCAAAGGCGAAGGCAGCAUCCUGGCUCGUAUCUGACGCUGAUGUGCGAAAGCUAGGGGAGCGAACGGG
rnacentral:rRNA from 1 species